rnacentral:rRNA from 1 species
CCUACGGGAGGCAGCAGUGGGGAAUCUUGCGCAAUGGGCGAAAGCCUGACGCAGCGAUGCCGCGUGCGGGAUGAAGGCCUUCGGGUUGUAAACCGCUUUCAGCAGGGACGAAAUUGACGGUACCUGCAGAAGAAGCCCCGGCCAACUACGUGCCAGCAGCCGCGGUAAUACGUAGGGGGCGAGCGUUGUCCGGAUUUAUUGGGCGUAAAGAGCUCGUAGGCGGUUCGAUAAGUCGGAUGUGAAAUCUCCACGCUCAACGUGGAGAGGCCAUUCGAUACUGUCGUGACUAGAGUCCGGUAGGGGAGUGUGGAAUUCCCGGUGUAACGGUGAAAUGCGCAGAGAUCGGGAGGAACACCCGUAGCGAAGGCGGCACUCUGGGCCGGUACUGACGCUGAGGAGCGAAAGCGUGGGGAGCAAACAGGAUUAGAUACCCUGGUAGUCCACGCCGUAAACGUUGGGCACUAGGUGUGGGACUCUAUCGACGGGUUCCGUGCCGUAGCUAACGCAUUAAGUGCCCCGCCUGGGGNGGUACGGCCGCGAGACUAACUACAANAGAUAGACGGCGNGAGACGNGCCGACGGACGACGACGAGGGAGUAGG